GCUGAAGCUGAUAGGCUCCAGACGGGUAUGCGAGGUGCCUUUGGAAAGCCCCAGGGCACAGUGGCCAGGGUCCACAUUGGCCAAGUCAUAAUGUCCAUCCGCACCAAGCUGCAGAACAAGGAGCAUGUGAUUGAGGCCCUCCGAAGGGCCAAGGUCAAGUUCCCUGGCUGCCAGAAGAUCCACAUCUCCAAGAAGUGGGGAUUUACUAAGUUUAAUGCAGAUGAAUUUGAAAACAUGGUGGCAGAAAAGCGGCUCAUCCCGGAUGGCUGUGGGGUCAUAUACAUCCCUAAUUGCGGCCCUCUGGACAAAUGGCGGGCCCUGUGCUCGCGAGAGCCUUGGCGCUGUCCCCUCCUUACUCGUGCCCACCAAUAAAUCCUACUUUCCUGUCAAAAAA